rnacentral:rRNA from 1 species
AGAGAACCUGAAACCUUGUGCUUACAAGCUGUCAAAGCACGUUAACGUGUGAUGGCGUACUUUUUGUAGAACGGUCCGGCGAGUUAUAGUAACGAGCGAGCUUAAGGCAUUCAGUGCCGGAGGCGAAGCGAGAGCGAGUCUGAAUAGGGCGUAAAGUUCGUUGCCAUAGACCCGAAACCGGGUGACCUACCCAUGAGCAGGUUGAAGUGGGGGUGAAACCCCAUGGAGGACCGAACCGACCCCCGUUGCAAUGGUGGCGGAUGACUUGUGUGUAGCGGUGAAAUUCCAAUCGAACUCGGAGAUAGCUGGUUCUCCCCGAAAUAGCUUUAGGGCUAGCGUUGUGUUAGAUUACCGGAGGUAAAGCACUGAAUGGUUUAGGGGCUGAUAAAGUUACCGACGCCUAUCAAACUCUGAAUGCCGGAUAAUUGAUGCACAGCAGUCAGACAGUGUGAGAUAAGUUUCAUUGUCAAAAGGGAAACAGCCCAGACCUACAGCUAAGGUCCCAAAUGUAUGCUAAGUGGAAAACGAUGUGGAAUUGCGAAAACAACCAGGAUGUUGGCUUAGAAGCAGCCACUCAUUAAAAGAGUGCGUAAUAGCUCACUGGUCGAGUGACUCUGCGCCGAAAAUUUAACGGGGCUAAACUAUACACCGAAGCUUGGGAUACAUCUAAUGUAUGGUAGGAGAGCGUUCUGUAUGGGGAGAAGUCGUAGCGAAAGCGGCGGUGGACUAUACAGAAGUGAGAAUGCCGGAAUAAGUAGCGAGAAUUAAGUGAGAAUCUUAAUGGCCGAAAGUCUAAGGUUUUUGGAGGAAGGUUCGUCCGCUCCAAGUAAGUCGGGAGCUAAGGUCAGGCCGAAAGGCGUAGCCGAUGCACAUACGGUUGAUAUUCCGUAACCAUCUGUAAUUUAAGCAAAGGGACACUUUAAAAGGGUGUGACCCGGGCGUUGGUUGACCCGGGCGUAAGGGACCGAAAUUAGAGUAGGGAAGCACACUUGGCUGAAGGCGAGAAAAGCUUUGCGUAUAGAAGCAGAUGCCCGUACCGCAAACCGACACAGGUGGACAGGAAGAGAAUUCUAAGGCCAGCGGGAGAAGGGUAGUUAAGGAACUCGGCAAAUUGACUCCGUAACUUCGGAAUAAGGAGUGCUCGAAAGAGCCGCAGAGAAUAGGCCCAGGCGACUGUUUAGCAAAAACACAGGUCUCUGCCAAAUCGAAAGAUGAAGUAUAGGGGCUGACACCUGCCCGGUGCCGGAAGGUUAAGAGGAGGAGUGAGAGCUCCGAAUUGAAGCCCCGGUAAACGGCGGCCGUAACUAUAACGGUCCUAAGGUAGCGAAAUUCCUUGUCGGGUAAGUUCCG